UACGAACCGUCCAAACGUUAUUCGGAUUUAUUGGGCUUAAAGGGUAUGUAGGCGGCGCCAUCAGUCUGGUGUGAAAGCCCUCGGCUCAACCGAGGAAUUGCGCCCGAUACUGUGGUGCUUGAGGGAGACAGAGGUAAGCGGAACUGAUGGUGGAGCGGUGAAAUGCGUUGAUAUCAUCAGGAACACCAGUGGCGAAAGCGGCUUACUGGGUCUCUUCUGACGCUGAGAUACGAAAGCUAGGGGAGCGAACGGG
rnacentral:misc_RNA from 1 species